rnacentral:misc_RNA from 1 species
UCUAACACUUGCCCCCAAUUCAAAAAAAAUCGUUCUUGCUAAAGUGGGUUAGUUUAUAGUCAAGAAAAACAUCACCUUUACAUACUACAAAGAAUAGGAAGCUCCCUGCUAAAAGGAUUUCUGGUGCAAGAUCUUCUUAAGGAAUUUGGAAUAGUAGCAAGUUUUAGAUGACUUUAGGAAAGCGGCGAGAAAUCUAUUGUAGAUGAACUUGGGAAAACGGCGAGCCAACCUAGGUUUAGG